rnacentral:rRNA from 1 species
AGUGAACGCUGGCGGUAGGCCUAACACAUGCAAGUCGAACGGCCGCACGGUAAGAGUUUGCUUUUACGGUUGGCGAGUGGCGGACGGGUGAGGCAUACAUCGGCAUCUUCUUUUUCGUGGGGGACAACGUAGGGAAGCUGACGCUAAUACCGCAUACUUUCUACGGGUGAGAGCAGGGGAUCUUCGGACCUUUCGCGAUUGACUUAGCCGAUGUCGGAUUAGAUAGUUGGUGGGGUAAGGACCCAGCAAGGCGACGAACCGUAGCUGAUCUGAGAGGAUGAUCAGCCACACUGGAACUGAGACACGGUCCAGACUCCUACGGGAGGCAGCAGUGGGGAAUAUUCGACAAUGGGCGAAAGCCUGACCCAGCCAUACCGCGUGGGUGAAGAAGGCCUUCGGGUUGUAAAGCCCUUUUGUUGGGAAAGAAAAGCAGCAGAAUGAUACGCCGCGGUUCUGACGGUACCCAAUCAAUAAGCACCGGCUAACUACGUG